GUGACUUGUGUGCGCGUGAGAGUGAAGAGGCGCUCUCACACUGCAGUCACAGUGAGCGUGUGUGUUGAGCAGAGUCUGUCUGUCUGUCGCCUCCACACCGCAGCAGGUGUGUGUGUGUGUGUGUUCGCUCGAGGACUCUCUCUCUGGAUCUAACGCGCUGUGGAUGUGUUUCAGUCCGCUGGAGAUGUGUAUGUCUUCUGGAGGAUCGUAACGUGUGGAAUAAACUCUCUCUCUCAUCAGGACUGACAGAAGAGACAGCAGCAGCAGCAGUGCUCCGGUAACGAUCCUCUGACUCUGGACACACUCUCUCUAUCACGGGCUUCUGGCGGAACAGCGAGCGUCAUCAUAUAUAGAUUCACAUCUGCUCUUUAUAAUGCCUUUAACGAGUAGUGGGUCCACCCUGACUUCGCGUCGUGCUUCCUGAAGAAAGGAAAAGCCCUGAUGUGUUUGUCACCUGAGCUGAUGGCCGGGGCUGCGUGAUGGAGUCCGAAUGUCUUCACUCGGCCCCUCUUCAGACACUCAAAGGCCGCUCUGUUUCAGCCUGAUGACGAGCCGAUUGGAUAUAAUCUUGAGCGGCGGACUCAGGAGAUGGGGAGGGAGAGGGAAACUCUAAAGUAGGCUUUGCAGGGAAGGAUCGUCUUUCUCCAGAAGUAGGAAACGAGCGUCGGAGGGUUCCUGCUGCCAGUCGGCUCUCUCCUCCUGUUACGACACAGGACCAAAUUCAAACCAUGUGUCCUCGCACCCGGUUAGCUGCUUUUGCCCACCUCUAGCAUUAGCAGUCUGGACGGAUCCAUUUCACUGCCCCUCUCCCGUGCUGCGUUCUCAUUCUCCCAGCCCCAAAUGAGCCUCUCCGUGGGACUCCUGGCUUAAUAGGCUGGAACUUUCCCAUGUCCGGUCUCCGAAGGUGGUUGUUAUCCUCCGAGGGCCCCUGUACGAGUUUCAAGCUCUGGCUCAUGUUAUGGGCUGGGUGAGGUGAACUCCACGAUGUCAGAUGUGAUGCUUCACACAGAUCUUCACGGUAGUGUCUGAGCAGACGGCUGGUUUCUCCACAUCAUGGAUUGGUCAGAGAUAUCAUAGGUGGAUUUCAGUUGUGUGGACAUGCUUUGACUGCAGAUACUGGAUUACUCGGACUCUUUUCUACUUUACGUCAUGUGUUUUCUUCUGGUUUGUCAGUACACUGUUCCACUGUCAAGUUAAAAUACACAAUACACGUAUGGAGUAGUUAUGAUGUUGAAACUCCUGUAUACUCCACCCAUACAUGCCCUACUAACUAAAGUUUAUAUGUGCCAGGGACUAGAUCUAAUAAAUAUUUGUGUAAUGUAAACUGUGCCAGUAUUUAAAUAAUAUAGCAAUGUUGUUUUAUAAAGAUAUGAGGCACUUUGUUUUAAAUGACUACAGUAUAUCUCAAUAUAAUGCACCCUCUUGUACAAUAUUGCUACCUUUUAAUAUAGAAAUAUUUUUUUACAUACAGGUGUGUAUAAAUGAUAUAUUAUUUUUUUAAACUGUCCUGAAUUUUUGCUUAAAUAAAAAGGUGGAUUGAAGCAAAGUCUAUCAUGUCAUGAUGUUAAGAAAUCUAAACUGGUGGUGACACACACAAUAUUAAAAGUAAACACAAAUGUUUUUAUAUUUAUUAUACAUUUGUAAUAACAUCCCAGUGGGAAAUUCCCCCAGAAUGCUGUUCUCAAGACUAUCAACAUCUUUACAUGCAAACAGCAGCUCACAAAGGAUAAACAUUGACUAAUUAGUAAUGUUAGUCUUAUCUGACAUUGAUUAACUACAAUCAAUAUAUGUGUGGCAGACAUCCUGUUUACCCGCUGUCUACUGCCGAUUUAUUGAGCUUCAUUAACCUUAAACAAGUCAUGUCGUAUCUGCACAUCAUUUCACUGCUGACCUUUCUUCCUGGUCAUGUGGCGGAAAUACUCACUACCUGUUAGGCUGGAAUUUAUUUUUGCACAGAUCGAAAAUUCUGAGGAAAGACAGUCAGGAAUUGCACUUGACUGUAUUUCAAAGGAACAACAUAACUGCAUCAUGAAUAAAUGUCUCAUUUUCCAUGUGUUUAUGGGUGAAAACUUGUAGAAACUUGAAGGAAAAAAAAAACAAUAAAGCUCAUCG